AGUGAACGCUGGCGGUAGGCCUAACACAUGCAAGUCGAACGGCAGCACAGUAAGAGCUUGCUCUUACGGGUGGCGAGUGGCGGACGGGUGAGGAAUACAUCGGAAUCUACUUUUUCGUGGGGGAUAACGUAGGGAAACUUACGCUAAUACCGCAUACGACCUACGGGUGAAAGCAGGGGAUCUUCGGACCUUGCGCGAUUGAAUGAGCCGAUGUCGGAUUAGCUAGUUGGCGGGGUAAAGGCCCACCAAGGCGACGAUCCGUAGCUGGUCUGAGAGGAUGAUCAGCCACACUGGAACUGAGACACGGUCCAGACUCCUACGGGAGGCAGCAGUGGGGAAUAUUGGACAAUGGGCGCAAGCCUGAUCCAGCCAUACCGCGUGGGUGAAGAAGGCCUUCGGGUUGUAAAGCCCUUUUGUUGAGAAAGAAAAGCAGCAGGUUAAUACCCCGCUGUUCUGACGGUACCCAAAGAAUAAGCACCGGCUAACUUCGU
rnacentral:rRNA from 1 species